ACAUAAAUUGCAAAUAUAUUUCUACAAAAUUUAACUUUUAUAUAUAUGUUGUUCUACAAAAACCCUAAUAUUUUCAAAUAUUUCCGUUCCGUUAGAAUCCGUUAGAAAAUUUUAUUUAAUCAUAGAUUAAAUACUUAACCUUGAUUAGUUUAUGAGAUAAGUUGGCAUUUUUGCCCCUCUUAUAUUAUAUUAUUAUGCUUGUUUGGAAAGACAUAUUUGUGGUGUCAAAAUUUAUAUUUCACUUAAAAUAUAAACAGUUCUAUAACGGUAACAAACCAGAAGGAUAUAUUUGAAAAUAUUAGAACUUUUAUAGAAAUAAUAUAUGAAAGUUAAAUUUUGUAGGAAUUUAUUUACAAUUCACUAUAUUUGUAGGGACCUAUAUGAAAUUAAUCCUUUCUUUUGUUAGAUUCUAAAAUCUUUUUAAUUUAUCGUUUUCAAAUAAACCUGUGGUCAAAAAAUUCUUUAACUCUAAUAUUCUGUUUGAAUUUCGGAAUAAAUUAUCUUGAUGAUGAUUUAAUUAUACAAUUUUUUUUUUCAUUUUGUAUUAGGGAUGUCAAUGGGUAUGGAUACCCGAAAUUUUAUCUGAACCCGAACCCGAAUGAAACGGAUAUAUCCGAUGAAUAUGGAUAUGGAUUCGGAUAUAGAUAUCAAAAAUAGAAACCCGACGGAUAUGGAUUCGGAUAUGGAUUUUGAUUGUACCCGACCCGAACCCGACCCGAACCCGAAUUUAUCUUGCAUUAUAUAUAAUAAAUAUAAAAAAAAUUUGAUGUUAUAUUUGAAUUUGUAUUUUAAAAAUUUAGAUUUAAUAUAAUAUAUUUUGAAAUAUUGAAAAAAGAAAUAAUUGUUUCGGGUUUAAAUUUUUGGGUUCGGGUUCGGGUUCGGGAUUCGGAUUUUUGGUCGGGUUCGGGUUUGGAUAUGGAUUUUUAAAAUCCGUCGGGUUCGGGUUCGGGUUCAGGUUUCGGGUUUGGAGUCGGGUACCGGUUCGGAUUUUUAAAAAUCCGUUCCGAAUCCGACCCGUUGACAUCUCUAUUUUGUAUGAUUAGGAGUCAGGAGUUUAA
rnacentral:lncRNA from 1 species